rnacentral:rRNA from 1 species
GGAAUCUUAGACAAUGGGCGCAAGCCUGAUCUAGCGAUGCCGCGUGUGUGAUGAAGGUCUUAGGAUCGUAAAGCACUUUCGCCAGGGAUGAUAAUGACAGUACCUGGUAAAGAAACCCCGGCUAACUCCGUGCCAGCAGCCGCGGUAAUACGGAGGGGGUUAGCGUUGUUCGGAAUUACUGGGCGUAAAGCGCGCGUAGGCGGAUAUUUAAGUCGGGGGUGAAAUCCCGGGGCUCAACCCCGGAACUGCCUCCGAUACUGGGUAUCUAGAGUUCGAGAGAGGUGAGUGGAAUUCCGAGUGUAGAGGUGAAAUUCGUAGAUAUUCGGAGGAACACCAGUGGCGAAGGCGGCUCACUGGCUCGAUACUGACGCUGAGGUGCGAAAGCGUGGGGAGC